rnacentral:rRNA from 1 species
AUUGAACGCUGGCGGCAGGCUUAACACAUGCAAGUCGAACGAGUGGCGGACGGGUGAGUACUGCUUGGGAAUCGAGCUUAUGGAGGGGGAUAACUACGGGAAACUGUAGCUAAUACCGCGUACCAUAGGAUGAGCCCAAGUGGGAUUAGGUAGUUGGUGAGGUAAAGGCUCACCAAGCCGACGAUCUCUAUCUGGUCUGAGAGGAUGACCAGCAACACUGGGAAUGAGACCCGGCCCCGACUCCUACGGGAGGCAGCAGUGGGGAAUAUUGCGCAAUGGGGGCGACCUGACGCAGCCAUGCCGCGUGAAUGAAGAAGGCCUUCGGGCUGUAAAGUUCUUUCAGUAGCGAGGCGUUAACUACAGAAGAAGCACCGGCUAACGCCGUGCCAGCAGCCGCGGUAAUAC